rnacentral:lncRNA from 1 species
GAGCUGGCGCUGACUGUAACCCUCUCCAUCAAAACGGGCCUUGCUUCCAGCCCAACACCGUCAGGGCUCACUGUAACUACGCCGUGAAUAGCUACUUCCAAAAGAAGGGUCAGGCUCAAGGGUCCUGUGAGUUUGCAGGAACAGCCACUGUUACUGCUACUGACCCCAGUAAAUCCUCAAUCUCUAUUUUCUUUUUUCUUUUCUUAGCAUAUUUUUCUUUCAAAAGAAACCAGAGUAGCUGACCCUUUUACCUGUUUCUCUUUUUCUCCUUCUUGAUGAACAGGCACUGGCGGUUGUGUCUACCCUUCAAGUGUCAGGUAUGCAUU